GAAGGCUAUGUUGGCCGGGCGACGGUUGUCCCGGUUUAAGCGUGUAGGCUGGUUUUCCAGGCAAAUCCGGAAAAUCAAGGCUGAGGCGUGAUGACGAGGCACUACGGUGCUGAAGCAACAAAUGCCCUGCUUCCAGGAAAAGCCUCUAAGCAUCAGGUAACAUCAAAUCGUACCCCAAACCGACACAGGUGGUCAGGUAGAGAAUACCAAGGCGCUUGAGAGAACUCGGGUGAAGGAACUAGGCAAAAUGGUGCCGUAACUUCGGGAGAAGGCACGCUGAUAUGUAGGUGAAGUCCCUUGCGGAUGGAGCUGAAAUCAGUCGAAGAUACCAGCUGGCUGCAACUGUUUAUUAAAAACACAGCACUGUGCAAACACGAAAGUGGACGUAUACGGUGUGACGCCUGCCCGGUGCCGGAAGGUUAAUUGAUGGGGUCAGCGCAAGCGAAGCUCUUGAUCGAAGCCCCGGUAAACGGCGGCCGUAACUAUAACGGUCCUAAGGUAGCGAAAUUCCUUGUCGGGUAAGUUCCGACCUGCACGAAUGGCGUAAUGAUGGCCAGGCUGUCUCCACCCGAGACUCAGUGAAAUUGAACUCGCUGUGAAGAUGCAGUGUACCCGCGGCAAGACGGAAAGACCCCGUGAACCUUUACUAUAGCUUGACACUGAACAUUGAGCCUUGAUGUGUAGGAUAGGUGGGAGGCUUUGAAGUGUGGACGCCAGUCUGCAUGGAGCCGGCCUUGAAAUACCACCCUUUAAUGUUUGAUGUUCUAACGUGGACCCGUGAUCCGGGUUGCGGACAGUGUCUGGUGGGUAGUUUGACUGGGGCGGUCUCCUCCUAAAGAGUAACGGAGGAGCACGAAGGUUGGCUAAUCCUGGUCGGACAUCAGGAGGUUAGUGCAAUGGCAUAAGCCAGCUUGACUGCGAGCGUGACGGCGCGAGCAGGUGCGAAAGCAGGUCAUAGUGAUCCGGUGGUUCUGAAUGGAAGGGCCAUCGCUCAACGGAUAAAAGGUACUCCGGGGAUAACAGGCUGAUACCGCCCAAGAGUUCAUAUCGACGGCGGUGUUUGGCACCUCGAUGUCGGCUCAUCACAUCCUGGGGCUGAAGUAGGUCCCAAGGGUAUGGCUGUUCGCCAUUUAAAGUGGUACGCGAGCUGGGUUUAGAACGUCGUGAGACAGUUCGGUCCCUAUCUGCCGUGGGCGCUGGAGAACUGAGGGGGGCUGCUCCUAGUACGAGAGGACCGGAGUGGACGCAUCACUGGUGUUCGGGUUGUCAUGCCAAUGGCACUGCCCGGUAGCUAAAUGCGGAAGAGAUAAGUGCUGAAAGCAUCUAAGCACGAAACUUGCCCCGAGAUGAGUUCUCCCUGACCCUUUAAGGGUCCUGAAGGAACGUUGAAGACGACGACGUUGAUAGGCCGGGUGUGUAAGCGCAGCGAUGCGUUGAGCUAACCGGUACUAAUGAACCGUGAGGCUUAACCUUACAACGCCGAAGGUGUUU
rnacentral:rRNA from 1 species